UACGUAGGGUGCAAGCGUUGUCCGGAAUUAUUGGGCGUAAAGAGCUCGUAGGCGGUCUGUUGCGUCGGCUGUGAAAACCCGGGGCUCAACUCCGGGCCUGCAGCCGAUACGGGCAGACUAGAGUUCGGCAGGGGAGACUGGAAUUCCUGGUGUAGCGGUGAAAUGCGCAGAUAUCAGUAGGAACACCGGUGGCGAAGGCGGGUCUCUGGGCCGAUACUGACGCUGAGGAGCGAAAGCGUGGGGAGCGAACAGG
rnacentral:rRNA from 1 species